GAUUUGGGGGCCUUUGGAAGUGGUGAAUGUGUUUGCCCUGGGGAAGAGAGGUGAUGUCUAGGAGACCUCUUCACUCAGGGCAAGCUCUAUGACCUGCUUUGACUCUAGAAUGUGGUAGAAGUGGCAUCGCAUAAAUUGCAGAGCCUAGGCUUUAAGAGACCUUGCAACUUGCCUCUCACUGUCUUGAAGGGCUGCCAUCAGAGCAUCUUGUAAGGAGCAGGUAGAGCAUGUGGACAAGACAUCCCUGCCAGCCCCUGAGACAUGUGAGAGAGGCCAGAACAGGCCAUCCGGACCCCACUGUGCUGGUGGAUGAGACAGCAGAAGGAAUAUCAACCUACCAACAGAAUCCUGAGAAAUGCUCACUGUUACUUCAAGCUGCUGCAUUUUGAUGUUAUGAAGCCAUAAAUAACUUAUGAAGUCAUCUUUGCUGACUUAAAGUUUUCCAUAACUUUAUUAUAACAUAUCAAAAUUAUGAAAAAUGUGAAAAGUAGAAAACUGAUGAAUUUUGCUUAUUCAUAUGGUCUUUAAGAAUCUCAAAGGCACUGAAGUUUUUUUAUCUUUUCUGUCUUAGAAUAAAAAACCUUGAAUGAAAAUC
rnacentral:lncRNA from 1 species